rnacentral:rRNA from 1 species
AUUGAACGCUGGCGGAAUGCUUUACACAUGCAAGUCGAACGGUAGAGGGGGCAACCCCUUGAGAGUGGCGAACGGGUGAGUAAUAUAUCGGAACGUGCCCAGUCGUGGGGGAUAACGUAGCGAAAGUUACGCUAAUACCGCAUACGAUCUAAGGAUGAAAGCGGGGGAUCGCAAGACCUCGCGCGAUUGGAGCGGCCGAUAUCAGAUUAGGUAGUUGGUGAGGUAAAGGCUCACCAAGCCAACGAUCUGUAGCUGGUCUGAGAGGACGACCAGCCACACUGGAACUGAGACACGGUCCAGACUCCUACGGGAGGCAGCAGUGGGGAAUUUUGGACAAUGGGCGCAAGCCUGAUCCAGCAAUGCCGCGUGCAGGAAGAAGGCCUUCGGUUGUAACUGCUUUGUACGGAACGAAAAGGACUCUGGUUAAUACCUGGGGCUCGAUGACGGUACCGUAAGAAUAAGCACCGGCUAACUACGUG